CACAUGCAAGUCGAACGCAGUAGCAAUACUGAGUGGCAAACGGGUGAGUAUAAUGUGGGAAUCUGCCUUUUGGUUUGGAAUAACACGAGGAAACUUGUGCUAAUACCGAAUAAGCCCUUACGGGGAAAGUUUUAACGCCGAAAGAUGAGCCCGCACUUGAUUAGCUAGUUGGUAAGGUAAAAGCUUACCAAGGCAAUGAUCAAUAGCUGUUCUUAGAGGAAGACCAGCCACAUUGGGACUGAGACACGGCCCAGACUCCUACGGGAGGCAGCAGUGGGGAAUCUUGCACAAUGGGGGAAACCCUGAUGCAGCGAUGCCGCGUGAGUGAAGAAGGCCUUUGGGUUGUAAAACUCUUUCGUCGGGGAAGAAAAUGACUGUACCCGAAUAAGAAGGUCCGGCUAACUUCGUGCCAGCAGCCGCGGUAAUACGAAGGGACCUAGCGUAGUUCGGAAUUACUGGGCUUAAAGAGCUCGUAGGUGGUUAAAAAAGUUGAUGGUGAAAUCCCAAGGCUUAACCUUGGAACUGCCAUCAAAACUUUUUAGCUAGAGUGUGAUAGAGGUAAGUGGAAUUUCUAGUGUAGAGGUGAAAUUCGUAGAUAUUAGAAAGAACACCAAAUGCGAAGGCAACUUACUGGGUCAUUACUGACACUG
rnacentral:rRNA from 1 species